rnacentral:lncRNA from 1 species
UGGCGUAGAAAUAAGACCAGAGCACCUCACAUGUUGAAUUGUUCCAAAAUCCAAGGCUGCUAUCACUAAACUUCCAUAGAAAUGAUCACAUUAUCUAGCCUACAAGGCAGAGAAAUGACAUUGGCUUCAAGACAACAAUUGCUUUGAAUUCAGAAACUUGAAAUGUCCAUUAAAAUCUCACAUGAAUUACUUGUUCGACAAUUCAUGAAAGAAUAUUGAAGGAUACGAAAGAAGAGAAAAGAUUCGAACUACCCUUAAGCUUAUCAUGACUUUAUCAAUUGAUGAAUAUGGUUCAGCCAAGAUUGGAAGGGAUUCAUAAUAGUGUCUUAAGCAUUAAAUCAAAGUAUCAAAUUAACCAAGCUGACAAAGCCUGAAAACAUCAAAGAAUAACAUCAGAACUCAUUUUUAGGAGUUUAAACUUAACCAAACAAGUAGGCAUACACAUAAAAAUUGCAAACAGCCAUUACAAAACUAAAUCACGUUCUUUUACCAAUCUCAGUAGCAGCAUUUUCAAACAAAUAGAGAAUCAAACAAUAAUAAUAACAACAGACCAAUUAAAACACGUCUCUAAUUAUAUAAAGAUCAAAACUAUUAGCUGAAAAUAAGAGGCGAAGAACUGGACCAGAAAUUGCUUUCUAUAUAUAUUCAAAUCUUCAAAAAUUACAGCGCAAUGAGAGCUUGAACUAAAAAUUGCAAACAACAGCAGCAAGAAUGAGGCAAGAACUGCGAGCUCGAAAUUAAACUUCGAUUUCAAAAGCUUUGUUCAGUCGAACAAUUUUUUUGAAAUUCCAAAUUUUAAAAUUUAACCAAAAAACGCAUCUUAGAUAACUUGCAAAGAUCGUUAUAUAGUGUAACCCUUUUGUAUUUACCAAAUCAUUUCCCCCUUUUUGUCUUCUUUCCCUGAUCCCUUCUGCAUCUGCAUUCUCAUAUGUGUAUGUAUAUAUGAGAGUCAAUGGCUGAAGCUUCUUUUGGAAUGGAAGGGAUGGCCACUCUUUCUUGAUCAAGGGAUGUUUUUUUGGUUAAAAAGAUGAUGGAAAAAAAGGCUGGAACUCCUCAGUGUUUUUUUGGUGUUAGGGAUCUGAUGAUUAGAGGUGAUGAAGAAAAUGGAGGAGAAGGGGAUUUCCGCUGUUCUUUUGCUAAUGGGAAAGGGG